AGCAUGUGUAAGAUGUUAGGCAGUAACAUCUAACAUUACUCUGCCACCUUCCUAGCAAUUCAUCAGCAAAUGAAAUCCCUGUUCUAGGAAUGUAAAGAGAAGUAAAGAACUAAAGCACCUACAGCCUUGGACAUUUUUGUUAUCCAAAUGGGAGCUAGAGUUCCAAAAAAGGCUUUUCUCACUUACUGAUAGGACUGAAUCAGUAGCAUUCAUACAAGCGCCAUUAUUGCCACUUAAACAAUGAUCAGAAAAGGAAACACAAGAGACAGCAUUGGAAGACGAAGGCCACAAAACCUAAGACCAUAUGUUUAAUGAUACAUAUAUGACAAUAAAAUCCUACUUGUUAUUUGAAUAACUAUCGUUAUUUGACAACAAAAUAGACAGCAUUUGUAGUUUACAGAGGUAUGAAAAAAAGGAGAAAAGCAAUUUGAGUGGAUUCAUCUUCUCAUUCUACAUUUUUCCACUACUAUUCAUCUUCUAAAAUGAUGAGCGUUUGUCCUUUUGCAGUAUCGGAGUUUAGUGGGAGCUUCUUCAGCAUUGGGCAUUCUACAAUUGAUAUUUCCUUCGGCUGUGGAAAAGGCAGAGCAUGGCAGUAUAAUGUCAAGGUUGGAAGAACUUGAGAAAGAAGAACUUCAGCUGAAGAUGAGUUGAGUAAAGCUGCUGAAAGUGUUGGUGAUGAAGAUGGACGGACUAAAGCUGGUUUUCAUAGAAAAAAAUAUGGUGGUUACAGUUAUCUUGAUCAUGGUCGAAGAUAUUGAGAGGUGUAUGAGUCUGAGUGAAGGAAACAACAACAGCAGUCCAAAGGCAAAGAACCAAUUGAAGAGAUGUCCAAUAAAUAUAAGAAUCAGGAUUUAACUAAUCAGUUUGCUGUACGUGAUUAAAUCUUUGUAUGCCUUCUUUGUCUUUUAGCCUUUCUUUGAUAAUCCUUCUAACUUAUUGAUAAAUGAAGCCUGAAGUCUUUAUAUUAGAAA